AGAGUAGACCAGAUGGUCGCGGGUACCGGAUAAGAAUGGUAUCCGAGGAAAGUCCGAGCUCCAAAGGGCAGGGUGCUGGGUAAUACCCAGUGGGGGUGACCCUAAGGCAAGUGCCACAGAAACAUACCGCCCCUUAUGCAGAUUAAAGAGGGGUAAGGGUGGAAAGGUGAGGUAAGAGCUCACCAGCGGUCAGGCGACUGAUCGGCUCGGUAAACCCCACCCGGAGCAAGACCAAAUAAGGGACGUUAUCGGCGGCCCGUCGUGUCCCGUGGUAGGUCGCUAGAGGUGGCAGGUAACUGUCAUCCUAGAUAGAUGACCAUCCAAGACAGAACUCGGCUUACAGGUCUACUCGCUUU
rnacentral:RNase_P_RNA from 1 species